rnacentral:rRNA from 1 species
CCUACGGGAGGCAGCAGUGGGGAAUAUUGCACAAUGGGGGGAACCCUGAUGCAGCGACGCCGCGUGAGUGAAGAAGUAUUUCGGUAUGUAAAGCUCUAUCAGCAGGGAAGAAAAUGACGGUACCUGACUAAGAAGCCCCGGCUAACUACGUGCCAGCAGCCGCGGUAAUACGUAGGGGGCAAGCGUUAUCCGGAUUUACUGGGUGUAAAGGGAGCGCAGACGGCUGUGCAAGUCUGGAGUGAAAGGCGGGGGCCCAACCCGCGGAUUGCUCCGGAUACUGUAAAGCUGGAGUGCAGGAGAGGUAAGCGGAAUUCCUGGUGUAGCGGUGAAAUGCGUAGAUAUUAGGAGGAACACCAGUGGCGAAGGCGGCCUGCUGGACGACAACUGACGGUGAGGCGCGAAAGCGUGGGGAGCAAACAGGAUUAGAUACCCGAGUAGUC